rnacentral:rRNA from 1 species
ACUCAAAGGAAUUGACGGGGGCCCGCACAAGCGGUGGAGCAUGUGGAUUAAUUCGAUGCAACGCGAAGAACCUUACCCAGGCUCGAACACCAGAGGACAGCCCCUGAAAGGGGGUCUCCCGUAAGGGCCUUUGGUGAGGUGCUGCAUGGCUGUCGUCAGUUCGUGUCGUGAGAUGUUGGGUUAAGUCCCGCAACGAACGCAACCCCUAUCGCUAGUUGCCAGCGGGUAAUGCCGGGAACUCUAGCGAGACUGCCUGCGCAAGCAGUGAGGAAGGUGGGGACGACGUCAAGUCAUCAUGGCCCUUACGCCUGGGGCUUCACACGUGCUACAAUGGACGGUACAGUGGGCAGCCACCUCGUGAGAGGGAGCGAAUCCUCAAAGCCGUUCUCAGUUCGGAUUGGAGUCUGCAACUCGACUCCAUGAAGCCGGAAUCGCUAGUAAUCGCGUAUCAGCCAUGACGCGGUGAAUACGUUCCCGGGCCUUGCACACACCGCCCGU